AAUAAGUGCAGUUUUGCACUAUUCACGUUCAACGUUUGACCGUCCGUCUUAUUUGAAAAUUUUUUAUGAUUAGUAUUUUUAUUGCUAUUAGAUGAUAAAACAUGAAUAGUACUUUAUGUGUGACUAAAUGUUUUUAAUUUUUUACAAAUUUUUCAAAUAAGACGGACGGUCAAACGUUGAACGUGAAUAGUGCAAAACUGCACUUAUU
rfam:Oryza nivara chromosome 6, whole genome shotgun sequence.